rnacentral:rRNA from 1 species
CCUACGGGAGUCAGCAGUGAGGAAUAUUGGUCAAUGGACGAGAGUCUGAACCAGCCAAGUAGCGUGAAGGAUGACUGCCCUAUGGGUUGUAAACUUCUUUUAUAAAGGAAUAAAACGAGGCACGUGUGCCUUUUUGCAUGUACUUUAUGAAUAAGGAUCGGCGAACGCCGGGCCAGCAGCCGCGGUAAUACGGAGGAUCCGAGCGUUAUCCGGAUUUAGUGGGUUUAAAGGGAGCGUAGAUGGGUUGUUAAGUAAGUUGUGAAAGUUUGCGGCUCAACCGUAAAAUUGCAAUUGAUACUGGCAGUCUUGAGUACAGUUGAGGUAGGCGGAAUUCGUGGUGUAGCGGUGAAAUGCUUAGAUAUCACGAAGAACCCCGAUUGCGAAGGCAGCUUACUAAACUGUGACUGACAUUGAUGCUCGAAAGUGUGGGUAUCAAACAGGAUUAGAUACCCCUGUAGUC